rnacentral:rRNA from 1 species
AUGAACGCUGGCGGCGUGCUUAACACAUGCAAGUCGAACGAGGUCCAACCUUCGGGUGAAGACCUAGUGGCGAACGGGUGAGUAACACGUGGGCAAUCUGCCCUCCACUCUGGGAUAACUCAGGGAAACUUGAGCUAAUACCGGAUACUCCGUCGAGGUCGCAUGGCCAUGACGGGAAAGCUCCGGCGGUGGAGGAUGAGCCCGCGGCCCAUUAGCUUGUUGGCGGGGUAAUGGCCCACCAAGGCAACGAUGGGUAGCCGAGCUGAGAGGCUGAUCGGCCACACUGGGACUGAGACACGGCCCAGACUCCUACGGGAGGCAGCAGUGGGGAAUCUUGCGCAAUGGGCGAAAGCCUGACGCAGCAACGCCGCGUGCGGGAUGAAGGCUCUCGGGUCGUAAACCGCUUUCAGCAGGGAUGAAACUGACAGUACCUGCAGAAGAAGCCCCGGCUAAAUACGU